rnacentral:sRNA from 1 species
AACACUUGUUGAAUGCACUAAAAAUAAUUAAGAAUUUUCGGUGGCACUCUUUUUUUGCACUUGGUGUAAUUUGUUAAACAAUUAAAAAAGCUUUUGUUUCAAUUUGAAGCAAGAAAAAAACCCUUUCGGGAUGGAUGAUUGGUUGGAUGCAUGAAUGCACCAACUUGUUUUUUAUUACGAAAAUCUAUUGAGGGAUUCUUUUGCUAAAUUUUUUUUGGUAUUUCUUGCAGUUUGGUUUUUUUGGGUUCUUUCUUCAAUAAUUAUCUAAAAUAGAGCUAAAGACAUAAUAUUUAUAUUUAGAUUUAGAUCUACGACCAAAAGGCGAAAAUCGACGAAACACCGCCAACAACAUGCUGAUGCUGAUGCCGAUGAUGGUGGCGAUGCUCUACUACUGUGGUUGGCCGUCUUGGAAGCUUUUUUCCGAAAGUUCAGCCAAAGCACCUCAGUCACUCUUUAGACGUGCUGGUGUUCGUGUCGCGCUGAAACACUGUGUCUGUUUUUCUGUGGGGAUCUAACGUGGUGGAUACUUUAGCAAGGAGAAAGAUCAGUAACACUGUGCAAGUGUGAGUGCGUGUGUUUUUUUUU